rnacentral:rRNA from 1 species
UGGGGAAUUUUGCACAAUGGGGGAAACCCUGAUGCAGCGACGCCGCGUGAUUUAGAAGGCCUUCGGGUUGUAAAAAUCUUUUCUAUGGGAAGAAAAUGACAGUACCAUAGGAAUAAGGACCGGCUAAUUACGUGCCAGCAGCCGCGGUAAUACGUAGGUGGCAAGCGUUGUCCGGAAUUAUUGGGCGUAAAGCGCGCGCAGGUGGUUUAGAAAGUCUGAUGUGAAAGCCCACGGCUCAACCGUGGAGGGUCAUUGGAAACUAAUAAACUUGAGUGCAGGAGAGAAAAGUGGAAUUCCUAGUGUAGCGGUGAAAUGCGUAGAGAUUAGGAGGAACACCGGUGGCGAACGCGGCUUUUUGGCCUGCAACUGACACUGAGGCGCGAAAGCGUGGGGAGCAAACAGG